rnacentral:rRNA from 1 species
AUCGUUUCACAGCUUACGCCUCCCAGAACUCCACAGAGAAACGGAGUAUCGGAAAGACGUAACCGAACCCUGUUGGACAUGGUAAGGUCAAUGAUGUCUCUUACAGAUCUGCCGAUAUCUUUUUGGGGUCAUGCACUAGAAACUGCCGCUCACACACUAAACAGAGCACCGUCUAAGUCUGUUAAGACGACACCACAUGAGAUGUGGAAUGGGAAGAAACCCAGUUUGUCGCAUCUUAAAAUUUGGGGAUGUGAGGUACAUGUAAAACGUUUACAACCUACCAAACUCGAUCCCAGAUCAGACAAGUGUAACUUUGUAGGUUAUCCAAAAGAAACAAUUGGGUAUUCCUUCUACCUACCCUCCGAGCACAAAGUGUUUGUCGCUAAAAGCGGAGUUUUUCUUGAGAAAGAAUUUCUCGCCAAAGAAUUAAGUGGGAGGACAGUACAACUUGAUGAGAUUAGUGAAUCUUCGGCAACUGUUGAUAUG